CCCCUUGGUCGCUAUAGACGUCCGAGACUUCCGAGGGAUUUUCGCUAAGUCUCGAACAAGCCUCAUUUAAGACUUUCGCUAGAUUCAUUAAUACAUAUAAUCACGUGCGUAAGUGAAUAUUAAUAAUUAAACUAAUAUCUACUUCAUUCAAAAUAAUAACAACUCACGUUUAUGAGUUAACAACAUUUUUCAACAUCUAGCAAUUUUGUUCCGACACAACCCUAAAUAGCGGAGCAACUCGAAGCGGGGUUAGGAGAUGCCUUUACCUACUCGGCGGUGGUUCGUACGCAUUGAUGAUUACACGUUAGACUGAUCUCUAUCUGCAAAAAGAGGAAAUAAAAAGGGUGUGAGUCUCAUAGACUUAGUGAUCAUUAUCGACCCCGUGAGCAGGCGAGGAGGGAAAACAAACAUAAAGGUGGAAUGUUUAUAAAUCCAAGAGUAAGCAUAGAAAAUACAUUCCAUAAAACUGAGAGAUUUUGUUUUUAUACCUUUCAAUUCUAAAAAAUAAUAAUUCACAAGUAGACAUAUAUGAAAACAGUUUUAUAUAAGGUAUUAGAAAAUCUUUCAACCCUGACAUCCAGUCAACAUUUAAAUUCAAUGACAAGUGAAAAAUGAAGAGUCUCAAAUAUAAAAAGGUAAAAAAAUUGAUCACCAAUGAAUAUGUAAAUUUCACUUGUCAUUAAUAAAAAUUUUCAAGUGCUAAUGCCAUGCAUAGUGAAAUAAAAAUCCACAAGGGAGCAUUAUCUUCGAGGAGGAUAAAUAUAGCCCUUAGGCUUACUUUUUCGACAUCAUCACCUACUCGUGGGAACUGCCCAUGCCACCAAAUGAAUCAAGGCUUCAAGUCUCUCUUUUUACUUACUCGUGGGAACUACCCAUGCCACCAAAUAAAUCAGGGCUUCACAUCCCUCUUUUUACCUACUCGUGGGAACUACCCACGCCACCAUACAUAAAUCAAGGCUUUAGGUCCCCCUUUACCUAUUCUUGGGAACUACCCACACCACCAUACAUAAAUCGGGGCUUCAAGUUCCCUUUUAC
rnacentral:lncRNA from 1 species